UUUAUACCAAAGGUGAAAAAUGAGGUCAGUUACACUAGGUUUAGGAAGCAGCUGGUCAAAUAUCAGAUCUGGCAGUAAAAAGGACCCAUAAGAGGUGUUUUGAUCAUUUGAGUAUUUGUGUGUAAGUCAAGCCUUGGGAGGUUAAAUGAAGGAGAACGUUCUGGGUUAGGGUGACCUGACCGUUGGAACAGUUGUGCCAAGUUUCGCAAUAGGAAUGGUUGUUUUUGCCAGAAAGACAAAGAAGAUAGAAAAUAUUGACGCACAAAGUCCAGCUCUAGGAAUAAGUAGGAAACCAGGAGAACUUUGGAUUCCCAGAAAAUACAACCUGAGCGUGUUCACACACACACACACACACACACACACACACACACACACACACACACGUAUAUGAAGGAGCAGACGCCCAGUAUAAAAGUGCUUGAAGGGUGAUUGUUCAGGGCUGUUUCCAUCUGUUUUGCUGUGUAGACUUGUAUACUGUUGUAUGCUAAAGUUCUGCGAUUAAAGUAACCCCAUUGGCUGUAACUUUUCUCCGUGGUUCUCUGAGUCUCUUCAUUUCAGUGUUUGCUGAAGUUGACCAUUUUCCUUACAUAAUUGGCGUCAUGAACAGUCGUCUCUGAAGGGAGGACGGCAUUUAGUGGUGACUCCGAGGAGCAUCCUCCCUGCGUGGGGUGACAGGCGCGCCAAACAAAAGGGGACCCAGGGAGGUUAUAUCCCGUGGCAGACCCUGGAUCUGACCGGCCUGGUCUCCAGACUCCCUGAUAUCCAUAGUGAGGGCGAAUCCCACAACAGUCCAAGUCAAAGGAAACACGACGUGGUGUUUUCUGAACCAUUGCACCAAGGCAACCUAAAGAGACUGCUCCACGGAGCCCUAGUCAGACUCUGAAGACGAGGUGCACGAGACAUCUGCUGGAGUCACAGCUGCUCCAGGAAGCAAUGCACAACCAUGUUCAAGAUAAGUAUGAUGCAACCACAAAAUUCCCAAUUCACACUGUGUUGAAACCCAUGGCAACAUUCUCAGGUAAGUUUAUUAUGACUGUAAGCUGUAUAGUCAGGAGCAGAUUACACGAAUAACACUUUGUCUGACGGAACAUUUCCUGUUGCUAUGAAUAAGCUGAAGCUUUGGAAGUUUGAAAUGACUGAAAAUGCUGUUAAGGGCGGAAGCAUUAAGUGGGAUGGGCUAGAGGAAAUUUUUGGAAAAUGGGGAGCUGUUUUGGCUAAGACAGGGAUAAUUAUACUGAUAGUACUAACUCUGUUUUCCUUGUUGACAUGUUGCAUCGUGCCUAUCCUGAAGAAAUGGUGUGUGAGAGCAAUGGACAAGAGGCUGAACCUCGUAACGGACAUACAAGGAGCACAAAUGCUAAAUAUGAUGACCCCUGAACAAUUGGUGCGCAGAAUUCCUCUGGCGCAGAGGGGGGAGGAAAUACCAGAUUUGUUCCCAAUCCCUGAUUACAUGGACGAUUCAAAGGACGAGGAGGAACUGUGAGAGAGAAUGAUGAACAGUGGCUGACACUCAUAUUCAUUUUCUGUAUUCAGUUUUGUGUUUUGAUUUUACAAGAGGAAAAUGUAUUAGCAAUUUCGACUUAGCAAGUUAUGCAUAUCAUCCAAAAUGAUUUCUGUGAUUCCAUUAUAUUCUAAUGAGUAAGUUGCAUUCUACUGUGUUAUGUGUUUGAUCAAUCUGUUUAAGAUUUAUCUGCUAGACCGUCUAACAGGAACGGGCUGAUGGGGUAUCACUUUAUACCAAAGGUGAAAAAUGAGGUCAGUUACACUAGGUUUAGGAAGCAGCUGGUCAAAUAUCAGAUCUGGCAGUAAAAAGGACCCAUAAGAGGUGUUUUGAUCAUUUGAGUAUUUGUGUGUAAGUCAAGCCUUGGGAGGUUAAAUGAAGGAGAACGUUCUGGGUUAGGGUGACCUGACCGUUGGAACAGAUGUGCCAAGUUUCGCAAUAGGAACGGUUGUUUUUGCCAGAAAGACAAAGAAGAUAGAAAAUAUUGACGCACAAAGUCCAGCUCUAGGAAUAAGUAGGAAACCAGGAGAACUUUGGAUUCCCAGAAAAUACGACCCAAGCGUAUUCACACACACACACACACACACACACAUAUAUGAAGGAGCAGACGCCCAGUAUAAAAGUGCUUGAAGGGUGAUUGUUCAGGGCUGUUUCCAUCUGUUUUGCUGUGUAGACUUGUAUACUGUUGUAUGCUGAGUUCUGCGAUUAAAGUAACCCCAUUGGCUGUAACUUUU